CCAACAUGGACAAACUAUAGGAAAAAUACACAACACAGUGGUAAAGUAAUACCAGAAUUAAAGAAUGGAUAGAAUGCGUGACUGGGGACAAUACCAAAACUUUUCAUCAGUACUACAAAUUGGUGAUGGCAAACUAGAAAUAUCCUGCAGUGGA